ACCUCAUGGUUCCUAGUCGGAUUCGUUAACCACUGCACCACAACGGGAACUCCCCGGUUCUUUCCCGAAGGUGGGCAUCUGUGCUUGGAUGUCUUGUAUCUUCACCCCCAACACAUCCCAGAGCUACUGAGUUUGUGCACGCCCUCCCCUUCCUUACAAAACUCAUACUGCUCCGCUCCCCCCAGGUAGAUGGCCCUAUCUGUUGUUUAAGCCAUAAUCUUAAAUACUCCUUGGAAAUGCCUUUUCUCUUCCCUCUGACUAGGUCAGGUGCAGCGACAGCCUCCUGGAACGCUCUGCUUUAGUCCAGAUUUUGUUCGGUGCUACCAAGAGUUGCCCCAUUGCUGCUCAAUGUUCUUCUCUCUGGUUAGACACUAAUUUCCAAGAGGGCAGAGAGAAAGAACAUUUUAUUCCACUGUUUCAUCCACUGUGCUCACGUGAUGCAUGUCUUUCCACCCCAACCAGGCCGGACAGAGAAGGAGAGAGUGAAAGGGAAGGGGUUCAAGGUUUCUUUUUGAGAUGAUGAAAUGUUCGAAAGUUGAUUGCAGCACGGACUCCCAACUCGGAGUGUAUUCACAACGCUUCCAAACCCGACGUCCCUGCACCAUCUCAGUGGGUUGAAUUGUAUGGUAUAUGAAUUCUAUCUCAACAGAGCAGUUUCCCAAAAAAGAAUACUCCCCUCUUUCACAUUUAUCUUACAAGAUGGCUAUUCUUUUGUCAGCCAGCUGCCUCCCUUAAGUUGCAAACAUUUAGCAGAGAACAAAGCCUCGAAAAGGCCAUUUCUCUUUAAAACAUAAUCAAGCACUGAUUAAGGGGCAGGAGCAGGUGGGGCCAACUUGGCUCCACCUACGAACUGUCUUUGCCGAAAAGCUUGGCCCUAAAUCUCCUCCGCGAAGGUCCGAGGCAGGGAAACAGUGGGCGAGAGAAGUUAAAAGCACCACCCCACAGAAGCUAACAGUAGUGGGAAAGUAGAAGAAAUGAUUUUGAAACUUCAACUGCCACCCCGGUGGGUGCCAGGGCGAAACAUCGGGGAGUGCUAGUCUGCAAACUAGUUACUGGACAAGGAUCCCAUCCAGGAUACCGCAGGACAUUUAGUUCUCUUCUUGGCCGUGAUAAUGAUUUUGAUGUGACCUUGACCGUUUCAAGGCGUACAGGUGAAGUGUUACGUAGCACAUUCCUCAGUUGAGAUUUGUCGGAUGUUUUUCUCAUGCUUAUUCUGGCGUGCUGGAUUUGGGGACGAGACCACAGAGGGUUUUCUAGAGCACAGUUCGCAAACGACAUGCCGGCAUGGUUUCUCUAGGGGCUGGCUCUUCUGCUCUGAUUCUCAGAUGGUCGUCAUAAACGUAUUUGAUGGACGCCCCCAUUGACCUAGAGCCUGGGAAAUGUAUGACGUUUAAGGAGAGAUGCUUUGUGUCAAAAAUCACAGUCAAAUAAAAUUGAAGUAGCAAAGUAGCCAACUUCCUGUCUUAGACACUAAAAAUAUUCAUAACUGUAAACUGGAUAAAUGGGUACCCGUUAGCUGCUCCCAACCAAGUUCCCAGAGUACAGACCCCUAUACGCACACUUACCUAAGAAUCACAAAUCUCUAUUUCUGCCGGUGUUUCUUACUCUCAGGUAUUCUAUUUUCACUUCCAAAACUUUCCAUGAUUAAAAAGCAUAUUACUAUUCUUUCCUUAUGUUUUAACAAUAAUGGGUAACUAAUACUGAACAUCGCAUAUGCUGGGUGCUAUCUUAAGAACGUUAUCCGUAGGAAAUCAUUUACUUCUCACAGCAACCCGAAUAGAGAGCCCCUAUUAUCUCCCUCCUUUUCUAGACGACAUCACGGAGGCACGGUGACCUGCCUCUAUUAGAUUUCAACUCAGGUAGUUUGGUCCCAGAACCAACACACUUAACUGUUACACUGAGUCUGCGUGUUCAUGGUAGGAUUUUAAUAACAUCAGCAAAGGAAAAAGGAAUUUUUAAUUCUUACACCCAGCUACAACUAUUAUUAACAUUUGGUGUAUAUUAGUGGCUGUAAAUCAGGUGGAGGAGUGGAAGGAAGGGGCAUAUAUAGCAGAAUUAUUUGGGGCGCUUCUAAAAUACACGUAUGCUUGAGGCAUUCUACCCAAGGGGGAAGGGUAGGCAUGAGGAUUGGGGGAAAAUAAUUAGGUGAUACCAAUGAACUGCCUCUGCUUUCCGCUUCCACGUUCCGGAUGCCCCACCUCCAUCCCAGAUGAAAGUCACUGGUGUAUCUUUCCAAUCUUUUCCUAUGCACAGCUCCAUAUGCAUACACAUUUACAAAUGACAAAUCAAUAGCAAAUGAAUUGCUGUUGAAAAAAAAAUACUGGGGCAAGCAAGAGAUGUUGGCACAUAAUAUGAUAAAAUUCCUAAUGGCUGAGAACUCUUACGUACCUC